CGUAGGGGGCUAGCGUUGUCCGGAUUUAUUGGGCGUAAAGAGCGCGUAGGCGGCCGAGUAAGUCCGACGUGAAAUCUGGAGGCUCAACCUCCAGCGGUCGUUGGAAACUACUCGGCUAGAGUCCGGAAGAGGAGAGCGGAAUUCCUGGUGUAGCGGUGAAAUGCGCAGAUAUCAGGAAGAACACCGAUGGCGAAAGCAGCUCUCUGGGACGGUACUGACGCUGAGGCGCGAAAGCGUGGGGAGCGAACAGGAUUAGAUACCCUGGUAGUCCACGCCGUAAACGAUGGGUGCUAGGUGUGGGCGGUGUCGACUCCGCCCGUGCCGAAGCUAACGCAUUAAGCACCCCGCCUGGGGAGUACGGCCGCAAGGCUA
rnacentral:rRNA from 1 species